CCUGAUAGCUCAGUUGGUAAAGAAUCUGCCUGCUGUGCAGGAGACCCUGGUUUGAUUCCUGGGUCAGGA
rnacentral:tRNA from 1 species